rnacentral:rRNA from 1 species
AGUGAACGCUGGCGGCAGGCCUAACACAUGCAAGUCGAACGGCAGCACAAGAGAGCUUGCUCUCUGGGUGGCGAGUGGCGGACGGGUGAGGAAUGCAUCGGAAUCUGCCCAUUUGUGGGGGAUAACCUCGGGAAACCGGGACUAAUACCGCAUACGACCUACGGGUGAAAGCAGGGGAUCUUCGGACCUUGCGCAGAUGGAUGAGCCGAUGCCGGAUUAGCUAGUUGGAGGGGUAAAGGCCCACCAAGGCGACGAUCCGUAGCUGGUCUGAGAGGAUGAUCAGCCACACUGGGACUGGGACACGGCCCAGACUCCUACGGGAGGCAGCAGUGGGGAAUAUUGGACAAUGGGCGCAAGCCUGAUCCAGCCAUGCCGCGUGUGUGAAGAAGGCCUUCGGGUUGUAAAGCACUUUUGUUGGGAAAGAAAAGCAGCCGGUUAAUACCCGGUUGUCAUGACGGUACCCAAAGAAUAAGCACCGGCUAACUUCGUG